rnacentral:rRNA from 1 species
CGGGGUGGAUUAGUGGCGAACGGGUGAGUAACACGUGGGCAAUCUGCCCUGCACUCUGGGACAAGCCCUGGAAACGGGGUCUAAUACCGGAUAUGACCGUCCAUCGCAUGGUGGAUGGUGUAAAGCUCCGGCGGUGCAGGAUGAGCCCGCGGCCUAUCAGCUAGUUGGUGAGGUAGUGGCUCACCAAGGCGACGACGGGUAGCCGGCCUGAGAGGGCGACCGGCCACACUGGGACUGAGACACGGCCCAGACUCCUACGGGAGGCAGCAGUGGGGAAUAUUGCACAAUGGGCGAAAGCCUGAUGCAGCGACGCCGCGUGAGGGAUGACGGCCUUCGGGUUGUAAACCUCUUUCAGCAGGGAAGAAGCGAAAGUGACGGUACCUGCAGAAGAAGCGCCGGCUAACUACGUGCCAGCAGCCGCGGUAAUACGUAGGGCGCAAGCGUUGUCCGGAAUUAUUGGGCGUAAAGAGCUCGUAGGCGGCUUGUCACGUCGGUUGUGAAAGCCCGGGGCUUAACCCCGGGUCUGCAGUCGAUACGGGCAGGCUAGAGUUCGGUAGGGGAGAUCGGAAUUCCUGGUGUAGCGGUGAAAUGCGC